AUUGAACGCUGGCGGCAGGCUUAACACAUGCAAGUCGAGCGGGGAAAGGUAGCUUGCUACUUUACCUAGCGGCGGACGGGUGAGUAAUGCUUAGGAAUCUGCCUAUUAGUGGGGGACAACAUCUCGAAAGGGAUGCUAAUACCGCAUACGUCCUACGGGAGAAAGCAGGGGACCUUCGGGCCUUGCGCUAAUAGAUGAGCCUAAGUCGGAUUAGCUAGUUGGUGGGGUAAAGGCCUACCAAGGCGACGAUCUGUAGCGGGUCUGAGAGGAUGAUCCGCCACACUGGGACUGAGACACGGCCCAGACUCCUACGGGAGGCAGCAGUGGGGAAUAUUGGACAAUGGGGGGAACCCUGAUCCAGCCAUGCCGCGUGCGUGAAGAAGGCCUUUUGGUUGUAAAGCACUUUAAGCGAGGAGGAGGCUACCGAGAUUAAUACUCUUGGAUAGUGGACGUUACUCGCAGAAUAAGCACCGGCUAACUCUGUGCCAGCAGCCGCGGUAACAC
rnacentral:rRNA from 1 species